ACCCGCUGAACUUAAGCAUAUCAAUAAGCGGAGGAAAAGAAACCAACAGGGAUUGCCUCAGUAACGGCGAGUGAAGCGGCAAAAGCUCAAAUUUGAAAUCUGGCCCCCCCCGCGGGGGUCCGAGUUGUAAUUUGCAGAGGAUGCUUUGGGCGCGGCGCCUUCCGAGUGCCUUGGAACAGGUCGCCUCAGAGGGUGAGAGCCCCGUACGGUUGGACGCCUAGCCCGUGUAAAGCUCCUUCAACGAGUCGAGUAGUUUGGGAAUGCUGCUCAAAAUGGGAGGUAAAUUCCUUCUAAAGCUAAAUACUGGCCAGAGACCGAUAGCGCACAAGUAGAGUGAUCGAAAGGUGAAAAGCACUUUGAAAAGAGAGUCAAAUAGCACGUGAAAUUGUUAAAAGGGAAGCGUCUGCGACCAGACGCGCCGCCCGCGGCUCACCCGGCGCCUCGGCGCCGGGGCACGCCGCGGGCGUCGGGCCAGCAUCGGCUCUGCCGUGGGUACAAGGACCGCGGGAACGUAGCUCCCUCGUGGAGUGUUAUAGCCCGCGGCACCAUGCCCGCGGCGGGGCCGAGGACCGCGCCCGCAAGGGCAAGGAUGCUGGCGUAAUGGCCGCCGGCGACCCGUCUUGAAACACGGACCAAGGAGUCAAGCAGUGGGGCGAGUGUACGGGUGCCAAACCCGCGCGCGAAAUGAAAGUAAACGCAGGUGGGAGCCUCCGGGCGCACCACCGACCGAUCCUGACGUUCUCUGAUGGAUUUGAGUAGGAGCCCUACUGCUUGGACCCGAAAGAUGGUGAACUAUGCCUGUAUAGGGUGAAGCCAGAGGAAACUCUGGUGGAGGCUCGCAGCGGUUCUGACGUGCAAAUCGAUCGUCAAAUAUGGGCAUGGGGGCGAAAGACUAAUCGAACCAUCUAGUAGCUGGUUACCGCCGAAGUUUCCCUCAGGAUAGCAGUGUUGUCUUCAGUUUUAUGAGGUAAAGCGAAUGAUUAGGGACUCGGGGGCGCCUAUUUGCCUUCAUCCAUUCUCAAACUUUAAAUAUGUAAGAAGCCCCUGUUACUUCGGUGAACGGGGGCCCUCGAAUGCAGCAACACUAGUGGGCCAUUUUUGGUAAGCAGAACUGGCGAUGCGGGAUGAACCGAACGCGGGGUUAAGGUGCCGGAGUGGACGCUCAUCAGACACCACAAAAGGCGUUAGUACAUCUGGACAGCAGGACGGUGGCCAUGGAAGUCGGAAUCCGCUAAGGACUGUGUAACAACUCACCUGCCGAAUGUACUAGCCCUGAAAAUGGAUGGCGCUCAAGCGUCCCACCCAUACCCCGCCCUCGGGGCAGAAACCAGGCCCCGAGGAGUAGGCGGCCGUGGGGGUCCGUGGCGAAGCCUAGGGCGCGAGCCCGGGUGGAACGGCCCCCAGUGCAGAUCUUGGUGGUAG
rnacentral:rRNA from 1 species